AAGGGGUUCAAUCAUUCUAUUUCUUAAUAGAGGUGGUAUAAGUUAUUUAUUGAAUCCUGAUGAAAGAGCCUACAAUAUUUUCCUUUCACUCCAUUGGAAAGGACUGUAAUUACAUGGAAAUCCAUGAUAAUGUAUUAAAGAUCCCAUGUCACUGCUCUGUAGAGCACUUAGAAUGGAGUAACAUUACGCCACACAGGGCAAUUAGAAUGCAACUAAUUAGUGUCAUUUACUGGGAAAAGCAACUGAUUAAUUAUGUUUAGACAUUGCUGCUGAGAGAAAACUCAGAGCCUAUAGCUUCUAAAUUGCAUGCUCCGCCAUUAAGCUAAUCGAACACCUCUGCUAGCUCAAUAGUUACCCCAUAUUUAAUUCAGCCUCACUAUCCAGCUAAUACAGGCACCCCUGAAGUUCUGCACUAAUGCUAUGUUCAUGAAACUACUGUACAUCAGAAUUACAGUGUACUUUUCCCUCUAUCACAUUAGGAGAGUAAUUAGUAAGGCAGCUGUGCAGCUACAGACUUCUAGACUCAACUCGGUGGGUAAUAAUAUAUUUCAUCGUCAUAGAAACAAUAUCCUAGCACCUUCAGCACAUCAGUUUGGAAAAUGAGAAUCGCCGAGGGACUCAAAGGAGGAGAUAAAAGAAAGCUGAAGCUGAAAGUAAGAAACGUACAGAGAAGAGGAGCAAAGCAAAUUCAUUCUUACUGAGCACCUGUAAUGAACUGAAUGCUGUACUAGGGUCCUACGUUUCAUUAAACAUACACUUCACCUAGCAACCAUGAGAAGUAAAUGUUUUAGCUUUACUUUUUUAAUUUGAAAAUAAUUAUACUGAAUUUUUAAAAUAUAAUGCAUGCUGUUUAUAAAAACACUUUUAAUGUAGAAAAAUACAAAUUAGAAUAGUUUGUAUUGAUUAUUUUCUAUUCCCACCCUGGAUAAACACUUAGAAUUUUGAGUAAACACCUUUUUGCCAUGUGUUUAUACAUAUACAAAUUGUGUAUAUGUGUACAUAUAUAUGUAUAUGUAAAUAUACAAAUUGUGUAAAUAAAUUUGUACAAUUAUUUUCACUUGGGAUCAAAUGAUGAAUGCAGUAUUCUAACAUUUUUUUGCUAAAAGAAAAAUGUGUCAAAUGUGCCCAUAAACAUCUAUCAUGGAAGUAAAUAUAAGUAUCUUUAUCCUA